rnacentral:rRNA from 1 species
AUUGAACGCUGGCGGCAUGCCUUACACAUGCAAGUCGAACGGCAGCACGGGGGCAACCCUGGUGGCGAGUGGCGAACGGGUGAGUAACAUAUCGGAACGUGCCCUGGAGUGGGGGAUAACUAGUCGAAAGACUAGCUAAUACCGCAUACGAUCUACGGAUGAAAGUGGGGGAUCGCAAGACCUCAUGCUCGUGGAGCGGCCGAUAUCUGAUUAGCUAGUUGGGGGGUAAAGGCCUACCAAGGCAUCGAUCAGUAGCUGGUCUGAGAGGACGACCAGCCACACUGGGACUGAGACACGGCCCAGACUCCUACGGGAGGCAGCAGGUGGGGAAUUUUGGACAAUGGGCGCAAGCCUGAUCCAGCAAUGCCGCGUGAGUGAAGAAGGCC